GAGCAAGAGCGUCAAUUAAUGGCUGUUGCUUGCAUUGAAGGUUGGCGAUAAAAAACUGCGAUUCUCCGUGCCUAUCAAAUUUUUUAGUUUUGAAUAUGGCCUCGAACAAGUCGCUACAUU